rnacentral:rRNA from 1 species
UAGGCAAGCGGCAGCUACACAUGCAAGUCGAGGGGUAUAAGGAGCUUGCUUCUUAGAGACCGGCGGAUGGGUGAGUAACGCGUAUGCAACCUACCUUUUACAGGGGAAUAGCCCGGAGAAAUUCGGAUUAAUGCUCCAUGGUUUAUAGAGAUGGCAUCAUUUUUAUAAUAAAGAUUUAUCGGUAAAAGAUGGGCAUGCGUAUCAUUAGCUAGUUGGUGUGGUAACGGCAUACCAAGGCUACGAUGAUUAGGGGUCCUGAGAGGGAGAUCCCCCACACUGGUACUGAGACACGGACCAGACUCCUACGGGAGGCAGCAGUGAGGAAUAUUGGUCAAUGGAGGCAACUCUGAACCAGCCAUGCCGCGUGCAGGAUGACGGUCCUAUGGAUUGUAAACUGCUUUUGUACGGGAAGAAAUGUAAUUACGUGUAAUUAUUUGACGGUACCGUAAGAAUAAGGAUCGGCUAACUCCGUGCCAGCAGCCGCGGUAAUACGGAGGAUCCGAGCGUUAUCCGGAAUUAUUGGGUUUAAAGGGUUCGUAGGCGGUUUAGUAAGUCAGUGGUGAAAUCUUACAGCUUAACUGUAAAAUUGCCGUUGAUACUGCUAGACUUGAAUAGUAUGGAAGUAAUUAGAAUAUGUAGUGUAGCGGUGAAAUGCUUAGAUAUUACAUGGAAUACCAAUUGCGAAGGCAGAUUACUACGUACUUAUUGACGCUGAUGAACGAAAGCGUGGGUAGCGAACAGGAUUAGAUACCCUGGUAGUCCACGCCGUAAACGAUGGAUACUAGCUGUUCGGUUUUCAGACUGAGUGGCUAGCGAAAGUGAUAAGUAUCCCACCUGG